GGAUCAAAAGAUGAGAGAAAAAUCUGAAAGAAAUAAUGUUUGAUAGUCUCUAAACAUAUAAAACAGUUCUCUUGUAAAUUAGGAUGGAACUAAAGUCAGUGUGAUUACAAUGAAGACUCACUUUAAAUUUUAAAAAUGUAUAUUACAGGUGCUAUGACUUCUUAGUGUAUAAAUGUUCUAAGCUCUGGUUUUGAAUCAAAAUCACACGUGGAGUCCCAGACCUACUGAAUCCUCUGGGUUAGAGCUCUUGAAACCCUAUUUUUGAAAUGCAGUUGAUGCACAGGCAUUGCAAAAAGAUGAUUGAAGUAGACUGAAGUAGAUUGGUGUAGAACUGCAGAUCAGCAGCAUCAGUAUCAUCUGGGAACCUGUUAGAAAUGUACAAUAUUAUGCACUACACUAGACCUACUACAUCAGAAUCUAUAGUUCAAGAUUCUCAGUGACUUGUAUUAAAGUUCCAGAAGCUCUGGCCUAUGGGAGACAAAUACCAGACUGGGAUUCAAGGCACUUGUAUACUGUGGCUCUGUCACAUUCCAGUUUAUGUAAAUCAUUCAUCUUUUGUGAGUCUACUUCUCUAGCUAAAGGAACAGAUAUACCUACCCGACUUAUUCCAGGACUGUUGGAAGACUAUGAAAUGGAAUAAGGAAAAUAUGUGGAAGUAUUUCAAAAGAUUAAAAGUGCACUGUUUAUGUAAACUGAAGUUCUUAAGUGGUCAGCAGAACCACAGAUUUAUAGAGCUACUUGGCUGUUGAGUUUAUUCCAUUUUUAUAUUUUGAGCCACAUCCUUGAUUACUGCAUGGUUAACCCACACUCACAUUUUUUUAGCCACCUACUGAAAAUGCCCAAGGAUAUUGUCAACUUUUUCUCAUGAUUUUUAAGUCAUAGGUAAGUAACAAAUAUAAAUGAAAAGAUGGAUCAUUGGAAUCCACAGAGUACCUGGAAAUAAACUGUAUUCAUUAAUGUAACUCCCUAUCUGGAAAUAGGCAAAUUGAAGAUUUCAGUGAUGUCACCUUGGCCUUAUGAGUCCCAUAGUCUCUCUUGUCAUGGGUAAUUAAUAUUUGAUUCAUGGGUCAUCUUCUUGUGAUGAGCUCCUUUGUACCCUUAGGUGAAUUUGGUAACAGAGCUGUCAUUGUGUCCAGGGGAAUAAAUCUAGAAGAAUGUAAUUGUGUAAUCUUUAGAACUUGCCUGAGCCCUUCCUCUUCUCCAGUCUGCUUUCUAUCAUUGUGUUUUCUUCUUUGAUGAAAUAGAUGGUUGUAGCUCAUCUCAAUAAUCUUUGUCUCCUAUAUUCACACCCUGGUAGAGUCCCCACUCAUGUUAAAUAAAGGUAUUUUGUGUAAGCUAUAGAAUAUUGUAGAAAUGACAGAAUGUAAUUUCUGAAGCUAGGGAAUAAAAGACAUUGGGUCUUCCUUUUGCUUUCUUAUAUGACUUGCUUUGGGGAAAGCCAGCUGCCAUGAUGUAAGGACGUUCAAGAAGUCUUAUGGAAAAAUCUAUGUGGCAAAACCCUGAGGCUUCCUGCCAAUAACCAGUGAGGAAUGCCAAUAGGCAUAAGAGUGAACCAUCUUGGAAGCUGAUGCUCCAGCUCCAGCCUAGGGUUCAGGUAACUACAGCCUUGUCUGCAAUCUCAUGAGAGAAGCUGAGCGAGAACCAUUCAACUCCUAAAUGCUUGAUCCACAGAAAGUGUUAGAAAGUGUCUGUUUUAAGCACACAAGUUUUAAGCUAACUUGUUAUGUUGUAGUAUAUAACUAAUGCAUAAAUACUCUAUCAUCAAUGGAAAGAUCUCUGAUCUGAAUAUUAAACAAAUACAAUACCCAAAUCAACCUGUUAAAGAAAUUAGAAUUACUCAUGUUAUGUUUAUUUAUAUAUUUUAUGUGACUCAAAUAAAACUUACUUCAUUUUGGAGUUCCCGUCCUGGCUCAGUGGUUAACAAAUCCAACUAGGAACCAUGAGGUUGCAGGUUUGAUCCCUGGCCUUGCUCGGUGGGUUAAGGAUACAGCAUUGCCAUGAGCUGUGGUGUAGGUUGCAGACGUGGCUCGGAUCCCAUGUUGCUGUGGCUGUGGUGUAGGCUGGCAGCUGCCGCUCCAAUUGGACCCCUAGCCUGGGAACCUCCAUAUGCCAUGGGAGCAACCCAAGAAAUGGCAAAAACAAACAAACAACAACAAAAAAAUAUCUCAGGGAAGCAAGACCCAGAAACAAGAUUUUGUGACUAGUUCCUUGUCAGAAAACUUCUGAAUAAGGCAAAACAUGUUAAUGUGAGAGAAAUAGGAGUGAAGAGAGUCUGAUUUCACAGUAAAAACAAGGCAUCAUUCUUUCCCUCCCAAAUAUUUAUUGGGCAUGUUACAGACGCAUAGCUCAUGCCACCUGCAGAGAAGACAUUUUUAAGACUUAUUUUAAGUAGAUGUUUCAACUCCUUGAGCUAAUACAGACAUUAAUGGUAAAUAAGGUUGCAGAAUUAAGGUAUUUUUUUUGUGUGUGUGUGUUUUUCCAGAGGAGCCCUCAGCCUUUACUGUGAAAUUAUUAACAGACAGAUACUAUGUUGUUAAUAUGCAAAGUCACUGACAAAGCUCUAUAUUGUUGGGAGGCUUUGAUCUGUGUGGUUUUUAUUUCAACAUAUGAUUUCAUAGCUAUUUGAAUAGGACUGAAAUUAAAUGAUGUCUUGAUCAACAUCUUGAGAAUUCACUUUUCUUUUUCUGACUUUGUACAGAGCAAUGUUAAUGUUGAAUAGAGAAACAGCAAACAGUAACUUCAGCUGGUUGAAAUCCAAAGCUCUGUUUUCCACAGACACAUAAAAUUAGUUGAGAAUGGCCAACAUUCUGGCCUGUACUACAGUCUGGGUGUGUUCUGUUGGCUUCUGUUACUAUAUCCCGUCUGCAAACCAGGUGUACAAAACAUCCCAAAGAAGAAGUCUGGCUGCUGGUAAUUAAUGGAGUUAUGUGUGAAUGAAAUUCAAAGCAGUAGCAAUAUAUUUUGCUGGAUAGUGUUAGAAAAGCUUUCUUAAAACUAGCAAAAUGACAGCAAAUGACAGCUUCUAAUCUCAGUGAACUAGGAUAUUCUGACACUCAUUAAAAUUCAGUGUUUAAUCAUCAAUUCUUCCUUAAAGUAGGAGGGAAAAUGGUUUUUAUGGGAUGGUUAAAAUGUUCCUUAUAAAGCAAACAAGGCAAAACUACUCAUUGUGAUGAAAUGUGAAAAUAAUAGUCCACUAAAUAUUGUACCAUGCUCAAGGGCUAAAUUUAAGACUAUUUCACAUUUCCCCUGUCAAAAAUUUGGGCCCUCUGAUAAGCUUGACUCAUGGUUGGUGCUAGAAUCUGGACUUUAUCUUAUCCCGUAUUUGAUAUUAUUUUAUCUGUGUAUAAUCAUGAUUUGAAUGAUGCUUAAUGAUGGAGAUGUGACUGCUUACUUGGAAAAAAAAUGGAAAGAAGUAUUGGGAGUCAUAGCUUAUCUAAGCUCUUGUGAUUUGUGCUGAAUAAACACGAAUAUAUUAUUUUUCUUUCAUAAAAAGGGAAAUAUGCUAUAAACUAAUGAGAAUUUUUGGAGGAUUUAUGGAGCAUAUGUUUAUAUAUUAACUCUAAAGCCUUUUUAGUAAUAAGGGUGUCAAAUACUGAGAGAUAAUAAUUCCAUUAAUGCAAGAAAGUUAUCCUAUUUGCAUCCAGAGUCAAAUUGCUAAACAGGAAACAAAAACCAAAACAAAGCAAAACAAAACAAUAAGAAAAUAUUUUACUUAUUAGAAAAUUUUCACCCUUUUCAUUGCAUUAUGUGUGGAGUCAAAUUUCUAGGGAUUUGGAUUAACAAUCCAAUUAACAAAUGCCUAUCAGUAACUACCAGGUCUUUAACACUGAACUACUAUGCUUUGUAACAGAAUCAUCUGGGAAGUUUCUAAAUGCAGGUGGUGCUAGAGAUCAGAAUCUUGUUCCUAACCCAGAAUGAGGUUCAUUGUUCUGAAGGAGUUAUUCUAAAGAAGACACCUGAGUCUUUUUGCAGAGGGGGAGGAAAUUAUGGUAUAGGAGACUAAGUAUUUAUACAAAAAAUAAAAACAACAAGGAAUUCGUGAUAAUUUGUAGUUCUCUAACUAUAAAUGUUACCUGCUAUGUUUUUUUUGCAUUGGAGCAGUAAGUGGAUAAUUAAAUUCAACCAAUCAGUAAAGGAUGAUAUAUCACUUACCUAGACUAGUGAUGCUUAAUCUUUUUUUUUUUUUUUUUUUGGUGUCUGUCUCUUUUGAGUCUGAUGAGUACUUGAAACUUUUGCAAAAAUUAUAUAUUUUAACUUAUUAUGUAAUUAAAAAUCAAACUAUGUAUCUUAAAAUUAAGAUACAUAUAAAAUAUAACCAAAAUAGUAGAAAUAUAUAUUUACCGAUAUGUCUUCUUAGAGAAAGUGGAAGAAUAGUCCUUUGGUCUCACUGAUGGAUAAUUGAAGCCAAAAGUGUGGGUGAAAUCGUUUAUGGGAGGUGUUUGGAGCAUAAAGAGGAAUGGAAGGAAAGGAACACAGGAAGACACAAUGAGGAGAGAAUGAAGGAUUAGGAAUCCAUGAAAACAAAUAAGAAGCAAUAGCCAAAGAGAAAGGAGAGAUGCCAGAAGAGUAUUAUGACAGUGAUGGAAGGUGGUAUUGUCAAGAACAGAGUGAGAAUUAUUGCUAAAUGUUAUGGAGGUUGGGCAAGAUAAAGAAGGCAAUCAUAGUUUUAAGGGGAACAGGAGUAAAGUUCUCAGGACUUGAAGUAAUGGAUCUAUGAGACUAAAGCUUGUGAUUUUCUUAUUUGGAUUUUGAAGUUCUCUGGGAUAGUAACAGGGCUCAGUAUGGAAAAGCUGACUGAUAUAGGAGCUCUUUGUCCCACGUGAGUGAGGUUCUGAGUGGUUGUAGAUUGGUUCUGAAAUGUAGGAUCAAACCCAGAGUUGCCACAACCGUGGUCUCAGAUUUAAAGAUUCUCAUCUGUUAUAAUGCUAUUAAAGGAAUAUGCCAUGUAUCAUUUGUCAGAAAAGUAAAAAUAUUUGUAGCCAUGUUAUCUGUUAUCAGGUGAUCUUGAGUAGUGACAUAGUUUAGAAAUGUUUAAGGUCUAAAAAUCUAAGUAAUCUGUUGUUAAUACUGAAUUCACAUUACAGUCACUCUAGUUGGUUAAAAAAAAAAAUUCUGGCAACAAACCAGUCCAGUCAAAAUUUUAAAAGCCUCUUAAAACUUCUGAUUUUGUCCCUGAUAUGUAAACCUCUUGGAAGUCAUUAGUCCUGAUCUUACAAAGGGAAAAUAAUUUGAACAAACUAAAACUCAAUGACUAAUUUUUUUUUGAGCCUUUCAGAAGACUGAAGCCACUGGGAAAAUCACCUUCCCUAAAUGUGGAGAGGGAGAUGAGUCAAGAGUUAGAGUUAAACAGGAUAAAUUAAAAAAAAAAAAA
rnacentral:lncRNA from 1 species